AUUGAACGCUGGCGGCAGGCCUAACACAUGCAAGUCGAACGAGUGGCGGACGGGUUAGUAAUGUCUGGGCAACUGCCCGAUGGAGGGGGAUCACUACUGGAAACGGUUGCUAAUAACGCCUACCAUCGGAUGUGCCCAGGUGGGAUUAGCUAGUGGGUGGGGUAACGGCUCACCUAGGCGACGAUCCCUAGCUGGUCGGAGAGGAUGACCAGCCACACUGGAACGGAGACACGGUCCAGACUCCUACGGUAGGCAGCAGUGGGGAAUAUUGGACAAUGGGCGAAAGCCUGAUGCAGCCAUGCCGCGUGUAUGAAGAAGGCCUUCGGGUUGUAAAGUACUUUCAGCGGGGAGGCGUUACUCGCAGAAGAAGCACCGGCUAACUCCGUGCCAGCCGCCGCGGUAAUUC
rnacentral:rRNA from 1 species